AGCUUUGCGCAGUGGCAGUAUCAUAGCCAAUGAGGUUUAUCCGAGGCGCGAUUAUUGCUAAUUGAAGACUGGGAAGUAUAAGAUCAAAGUGCCAACAGAUUCUGUCUGGAGAGGGGUUUCAUGACU
rnacentral:snRNA from 1 species